rnacentral:lncRNA from 1 species
GAAAUGUAUUUCGUAUUUUUCCGAAUUAUGUAAUCCGAAUGGCAUAUUGGUCAUUUUUGCAGAGCACGUCAGUAUGACAUAGAAUGGGAAAAAUAAUACUCAAAUUUUAAUUUCUUUACUUUUGUUUUCUUUUAUUCUCCAAAACCACACAUAACAACCCAUCCAUCAUCCUAAUUUCUACACCCAUGCACCAAUCCCAAAACUAAUAACCAUGAUCAGAUCUUCAAGCUACAUCAAGAGAUAAAGACAAAAUCUAGAUUUAUAUCAAGGAUGUGAAGCAAUCCAAUCAAUAAGGCAUCCUUCUUCAAACAAUCUUUUGAGCUUUUAUUACUCAUUCACUUUAUUUACCUUUUCAUGCUAAAACAUUGAGAAUAAUGUCCAAUUCAAAUAUGGAGUGGGGUACCUAAUAUUGUUCUUCUUUAAUCUAUGUUUUCUUUUGUUUUUCUUACUUUGACUAUUACAGUCAAGUUACUCAUUUGCUUGAACAUUUUGUUACAAUAUACUUGUAAUUUUAAUUCUUGUGUAUGUGUGGAUAGAUGGUAAGUAAAUUUUUGUUUGAUGAACCAACUCCAUGCUUGAGAAGUUAGCCCUAAAAAUGUGAGAUUUCGAGUCAUUAUAUGUCCUUGAACAAAACCAA